rnacentral:rRNA from 1 species
GACGAACGCUGGCGGCGUGCUUAACACAUGCAAGUCGAACGGAAAGGCCCUGCUUGCAGGGUACUCGAGUGGCGAACGGGUGAGUAACACGUGGGUGAUCUGCCCUGCACUUCGGGAUAAGCCUGGGAAACUGGGUCUAAUACCGGAUAGGAGCCAUUUUUAGUGUGAUGGUUGGAAAGUUUUUUCGGUGUAGGAUGAGCUCGCGGCCUAUCAGCUUGUUGGUGGGGUAAUGGCCUACCAAGGCGGCGACGGGUAGCCGGCCUGAGAGGGUGGACGGCCACAUUGGGACUGAGGUCCGGCCCAGACUCCUACGGGAGGCAGCAGUGGGGAAUAUUGCACAAUGGGCGCAAGCCUGAUGCAGCGACGCCGCGUGGGGGAUGACGGCCUUCGGGUUGUAAACUCCUUUCGCUAGGGACGAAGCUUUUUGUGACGGUACCUAGAUAAGAAGCACCGGCUAACUACGUG